rnacentral:lncRNA from 1 species
UGAGUUGCAUGCACCUAGUGCACAAGUGCAUGUGAGAGAGAAAAAGGAGAGUUUGUCUUCUUUGUGGGUUUAUAGAAGACAAGAAAAGGGUAAGAGAGAUUCAAAAAGAGGGCUCGGGUUGUAACUACUCUAUGCAGAAAAGGAGUCAGGUGUAAUCUUCUCUUAUUUAAUGAAUCUUAUUUUACCCGCAAAUUUUCUAUUUUGGUUUUUCUCUCUUUUGUGAUCGUAUCAGCUUUUAAUUUGCUGAGAAAACGGGUUUAUGGUAAAAUCCAAUUCGACGCUUCCGUUGCGGAAUCCCAACAAUCGGUACCGGAUCCACAACAGUCGGUAUCGGAGUGGGUUGCGAAUUCUCAAAAUCCGAUAUCGAGGCGAGUACCGGAUUCCCAACAGAACACGCACGUCACUACAACAAAAACGGUCUAUAGCGACACUUUUAAAUGUAGAUACAUGUCAAAAAAGUACCGCUAGCUAAAAUUACCGACACUUUUAAAAAGUAUUGCUAUAUGUGGGGUUGCUAGGUAUAUAGUGACAGUUAAAGAGUGUCGCUAUAACCUAAAAAAGUGCUGUUAAUUUACCAACACUUAUUUAAGCAUUUAGCAACCGCCGAAACUCUAUCUCGUUCGCUGCGGUGGCGGAGGAGGACGACAGGAAAAGCUCUUCGUCUAGAAUUUCAGUGGAUUGAGUGAAGAGAGAAGAAAAGAUGGUAAUUGAUUUUUCUUUUUUUUUUUCUUUUCUGUUUGUAAUCGGGCCAAAUGGACUGGGUGUGGUGGGUUGAGUAGAGUAAUCUUUUAUUUUUGAUUGGAUUGAGCUUUAUAUUUAGGCAUUAGUAAAUAUUUUUUUAAGUUUUAACAUAAAUGGAACACUUACUCAAAAGUGUCCCAAACAUGUGUCCCUAUAACCUAAUUCUGUUGUAGUGUGUCCGGCAUGGACAUGCACGAAUUAUAGAAAUGUCCAUUAUACACAGUUGCAUAUUUAACCACUAGUUUAAUUAAUUUUUCUUACCUUCAGUAUUGCUGCAGACAUCAAUUGCAACUAAACAAAAAGGAUUUGUCACGAGAAGUGCUUUUGCAUCACCUCAAAUGCUGAGACAUUUAGGGUAUGUUUGUUUGGAUGAAAGUGGGGUGGAAGUGAAGAGAAUGAAAGUCGUUUUCACCGUAAACGAUAACUUUCGGCCCAAAAUUCUUAAACCCGGUUAUUAUUACUAGUUCAUAUCUGAUGUGGGAUUAUUGGGGUGUGACAGACUCCUCCCGUUAAGGCCCUGACGUCCUCGUCAGUCACGUCAGUCCAGUCACACACACAGCCGAAGAUCACCAGGCGAUGUGAGACUCGUCUCACUAGCCUUGUCAUCCAGACCUUGGCAUAGCCGGUUAUCUUAUCAUAAAGACUCCGGCAUAGCCUAUCACCUUGUCUUUCAGACCCUGGCUCAACCAAGACUCGCCACACAUUUCCAGCUGGUGAUUGGCUCUGAUACCAAAUGUAACGACUCAGCCCACUAGUAACAAUAGCUCGUUGGGCCCAACCACCGGGCCAAAAUGAUUAAGCACAGUUAUUAUUACUAGUAUUUAAGUCUCUUAUAUACCCAAUCAUAUCCCCAUUCAUAUCCGAUGUGGAAUUAUUAGGGUGUGACAGUUAUGAUCGAAACUCGAGUUAACCUAAAACGGCGUAAUUGACUUCGGCCCAUCGUGAGUUGAAAUCAAUUACGAUGAAGAGAUAUGAAGAAAAAAUAAUAAAAUAAUAUAUUAGAAAAAGAUAGUUAUAUUUAAUUAAAUAUAUUUAAUUAUGAUACUAAUUACUCUUUUAUUCAGUUGACAUAUUUAAAAUAUGAUAAAAAUUGAUUAGUUAAAUUUUAAUAUGUUCUUUAUUUAAUUUGUAUAAUUAAAAUAUGAUAAAAAUUAAUUAAUUAAUUAAUAAUCUUUUUUAACUUUAUAAUUUUAUUGUCGUAUUACUAUAAUUUAUGUAUAAAAAAUAAUAUAAUUAUUUUAAAUUAAAUUUUUGUCACGCCCCGGAUGUCUCGUUCCCCGGGCACGUCGACAAAUCCGCCGUAUACAAAAAAAAUUUUCCUGUAUACGAAGCGACAGCUGUACCUGUAAGUCAAACACUACUACGAACAGUAGUAGAGAGCUGCUAGAGAAAACAGAAGUUAAACAAACUGAGUUUCAUAUACAUAGUCCAAAUCCAAAAUACAGAGUUACUCGCACUGGCGAGUUAAGUCUACUAUGUACAUAAACUCGAAACAAAACAUCUACCUGCAGUACGGGUGCCUCUAGCUCUGCUCGUCGGGUAGGGCUGUAACUCGCAACGCCCUUGCCUCGAUCCUGAUCCGCGGAAGACGCAGCAGCCGAAACCUGUGGCUCUGCAAAACAAGAGUAACAACUGGGCGUGAGAACUACUACAAAACAAGUAGUCCUCAGUGGGUACCGCCCAAAACAACAUCGGUCACCCACUAAGUCUACAGAAGGGAGCAAGGAUAGUAGGAAAAGCAGGAAGUACACUCUACCGCUAUCAAUCACUACACUAUCAUGCUCUACGCUAACCAACUGUAGCAAAUGUCAAAUGACCCAAUUCAAUUCGGGACUGUAAGCAUACCUGUCCCCCGGACUAUGGAAUACACCGUCCCUGCCCCGGUUGCGACCUCAUCAGGCUCUAUCACACCUAACUGCAGUCCGUGAGGAGACAAGUCCAACUGGCAUGAGCGAUCACAACAGUACGAAAAGCACAAACCUGACUCCGGCAGGUGGCACUCGGGCGCUAAACCAACCGAGUAUUGACGCGUAUCUCUGUCGAGCUCAAACAGGCUCUGAAAGCAAGUCAAGAAAUCGACUCUAGCUGUGUCUAACAACCCAACAAAUAACGUGCCUCGCACAAUCAGACGCCAAAAGGCGAUCGGGUCCACCGUCAACCUCAACGGCACCCUACAGCUCGGAACACGUCGCCUGAACGAACCCUUGUAAAAUCCCCUCGCGAACCAAACAGUGAGAUAUAUUCUAAACUACCUGGAGUACCUCGUUCUCGAAAUUACUGGCGACAGUAACAAUUGUAAUAACUGGGCUCCUAGAGCUAAAUCAGGCCAGUUUAAGAUAUGACGAUCCCAAUCGUGUUUCCUAAGUCAAAUCCAGCUCUCAAAUGUACAUUUAAGACUUACUAUCAAUGCUUCUCAAUACUGAUUAAUCCAGGAUAGCACAUGAAUAUCAAAGCUACAACUGAUUACCGAAACUAAAAUCAUUACUAAUGUCGACAAUUUACGGUACAUAGGAAUAAACCGCAUAUAAACCCACCUCGUAUCGCUAACCACGCAGGGAGUGAGUCACCAAAAAAAUUCUUCCAAAUCCAACUGGGAAAAAUCAUAGGGUGUCCAGCUCGAAGUUCGAAUCGCUCCUGCACACAAUGGCUGCAACAGAAGAACUCCAACUUCAAAUUCUGCUUCUGAAACACAGCAGCCAGAGGAGAACUAAUUCAACCCAGCUACACCUGUCACCAAAUCGAAAAUAGGCUUCGUGGAUUCCGUCUUCGAAGUCCUGAAACAAAUCGAACAAUACGAACCGAGAUCACGACCACGUCGAAAUCGACCGCUGCCUAACCGAGUAUAGCCGAAACGCCAAACGGUUCGACGCUGAAAAUCUGCAGGGACACACCUAGCUCGAAUUUGAAGAAGCUUGUGAAAUAAUAAGCAAUUUGACGGCACACCCACCACGACAGCGACGGCUACGUACUGUGCCGACUCUCGAGGACGCGCGAUAACACACCCACUCGCCCGGCACUCCGUGCGAUUACGGCGGAACAAACCGUAGCUCGAAACUGCUCCACAGCGCGACGUCGACGUGCGAAUCCACUUCGCGCUACCUCUACGCUGCUCCUCCGCUUCAGCUCUUCCACUCCACACAAAAGAGAAAGAAAAAUAUAUUAGAGAGUGUAGGCUGUUCCCUCAAUAUUGAGAUGCAUAACCAUGCAUGGGCACGUGCAUCCCACAUGUCCAUCUACUACUACAUAUAUAUUAUAUAUAUAUAUAUAUAUAGAUAUAUAUAUAUAUAUAUAUAUAUAUAUAUAUUAUGUAUAUAUAUAUAUAUAUAUAUAUGUAUGUAUAGACAUGGGCAUGUGGCAUCCAUAUAUAUAUAUAAAGGAUACUACAAUUUUAAUUAUAUAAAAAGAUAAUUAUAUUAUUUUUAUUUAUUAAAUUAUUUACUAUUUAUACAUAAAUUAUAGUUUUAUAUCAUGCACUUUCUAUCUAACAAAUAGCAGAAUUAAUGAAACUUCACUUUCAUAACUACAAAACAAACAGCGAGGAAGAAGUAGUUUUCACCGAACUCCACUUCAACCCAAAGUCUAGUUUCGGUGAAACAAACAUGCCCUUACUGCUUCUUACUGGUUGAGACAUGUUGUAUGAGCCAGGGUGUUUGGAAGCAUGAUUUGCUCUGAUACCAAUUAAUGAAAGUGUGAUUUAUUUUGAUACCAAUUGUUAGAAGUGUGAUUUUCUGAUAUCAAUUGUUGAAACUGGUAUUUGUGCUGAUAUGGAUUAUAUGAUUCAGAAUCUGAAAUUCUAAAAUAAAAUAAUAUGGAAAAGAGACAUUAGGAAAAGAAGAUAACUAAACUAAUAUUUUAUUAAUAAAAAGUAAUUAAUUAUAUCAUGGGCAACACCCAUACAGCCAUGUCUAUUAUAAUUUAUUCAUCUAAUUAACCAAUGUCUAACUAUUUAUAGCUGUUAAGUCAUAAAAUAUGAUUAAUCUAACUUUUACUUUGGAUAACUACAAAUCCAAAUUAUAAUCAAAUAAAAGACUUAAACUUAUCUCUAAUUACAUUUUAAUUAAGUUUGGAGCAUUAUUCUAACAAAAAUAUUUAUUGUUUUCAAUGGAACGUCUAUCCAUCGACAUAAAUCCGUAUGAACCAACUGUAGAGUCUUUGCGGCUCUGACGAAUUUUUCUUCGGGAAACGGAUUUCUAUGUUGCUUUCCGAAAAUGCAACCUUCACAAAUUUGGUUUGAAUAAUUUAUAUAGGGUAACCCUUUCACCAUAUUUUUGCUAGUCAAUUUUGACCAAACCGUAAAUGCCAUGAACCAAGAUUCAUCAUACACAAUUGUAUUGAAACAAGAUAAAGUAUCAUUAUCAAUUCUCAUAGGAAACAUGCAAUUUCUAGUCAUUGACACUCUAACAAUUAAUCUAUUAUCUUUAUCCUUCCAUUCGCAAAUUUUCGUUUCAGUAUGCACAAUAUGACCCUUUGCUUAAAAUUAGCCAAUACUUAAUAGAUUACAUUCUAAUCCAAGCACAUAAUAAACAUCAGCUAUUAUAAUAUGAUCACCAUUAUAUGCUCGAAUUAAAAUGUCAUCUUUUCCUUGAACAACAAUUUUUCUUUCAUCUCCCGAUUUUGCUAUUGUAUUUACUUUAUCAUCUAAAUUUAUAAAUAUAUCCCUUUUACCACACAUAUGGUUGCUACAACCUGAAUCUAAAUAAGAAAUAUUAUUUUUUGAUGUUUCAACAAUAUUGCAAAUGAGAAGCACAGGUGCAUUAUUUUUAGCCUUAAAUUUGAAAUUUUAUUCUUAUUUUCAACAAAAUUUGUAUUAAUAUUAUUCUGCUCAUCCGCUUGUUUUCUUCUACAUUCAGAUUGAUAGUGCCCAUAUUUAUUACAAUAAUAAUAUUGAAUUCGAGAUUUGUCAUAUCUUUGCUGAUUGUGGUAAUUAUCUCUCCCUUUUGUUCUUCUAUUUGAAUUUGAACCAUUUGUAUCACCAACUGCUGUUUCAUUUUGACCUCGGCCUCUGCAGCGGCCUUGCCUGUGUUCGCCACCACGGCCGCAUCCUCUGCCGCCUCUAUUUUCUCCCUGAGUUCUAUCGCUGAUUGUCAGUUGGGUUUUGAGAGCUUGUUCAACUGUGCACUACGCUCUCAGUUUCAUACAAUGUGCGUAUAUUUGGAAUGAUCCUAACAAAUCUUCUACUGUUAUGUUGUUUAUGUCUUUGGCCGCCUCAAUCGAAGAAACGGUGUGAUCAUAUUUGCUAGUUACUGAUUUCAUAAUUUUUUCAACAAUUAAUUUGUCGGGCUAGUCUUCUCUAUUCAUUUGUAUUUGAUUUGAUAUGGAUACUACCCAACUAAAAUAAUCAUCGAUUGAUUCAUAUUCGUUCAUCUGUAAAGAUUCAAAUUCACCUUUAAAAGUAUGGAUUCGUACAUUUUUUACUUUAUCUGCUCCUUGGUAACUACUCUCAAGUAUGUCCCAGGUCUCUUUCGUUGCGUUGGCAUUCGAUAAUCUCUCAAAAACAACUCAUCCACCGCCUAAUAUAGAAAGAAUAAUGCCUUUCUAUCUUUCUUUCGGCAAUCUUUGAGCGCUUCCUUCUUUGCAGCAGCGAGCGUUUCGAACUCACUGUCGAUGACAUGUUUGAAGUCAUCCUUCACAAUGUCCCAUAACUCCUGCGAUGAGAAUAAGUAUUGUAUCUGAAUACUCCAGUAAUCAAAAUUCUUUCCUGUAAACUUCAAAAGCUGUGGUUGAAUCAUCCCGUAUAGGGCCAUGAUCAAUUAUGUAUGUCGAUGUCGAUGGAGAGCGCAAUGCCGGCACGUUCCACGUCCUCGAUCAUGAAGCCGACGAUCUGUUAUUCAUUGUAAGGCUUCUUCAACCUGGCUCUGAUACCGCUUGUAGGAUGAAGAGAAGUAUUGCAGCGAAUUAAACUAAAAACUUUAUUAAAUAUUUUUGGACUAAAUUUCGAUGGUGGAUUAUUUUUCACACAUUUACAGUGAUCUAUAUAUAGACAUAAAUCAAAAUCCUAAUGGCAAUAAUUGAACAAGAUUUAAACUUAUCUUUUAUGUCUAACCAAUAAAAUAUUAAGAGAUAAGCCUGACAGAAAUAAAUCUAAACUUAUCAAAACUAUUAGGUUACUUAUCAACACAAGGCAUGAUAUAUAAUAUAAUAAGAAUAAUUCAGUUGUCUAGUGUGAUAAUGUCUCAAAUAUUAUGUCAUAUAUUUCAUAGCGGAGUAAAAAAAAUAUAUGUGAUGUAUGUAUGUAUAAGAGUACUGCUACUUAUUGAAUGACUAGCAUAUUUGUAUUCUAAAGAGCAUGUGCAUGCAGUACUUGGACAAUACUAUGAAUUAAAUUAGGAAGAAAGAAGGUGUAUAGAUUGUCUUGAAAUAUACUACAUAUGUAUUAGCUGCUAUUUACACAGUUUCUACAAAAGGUGAUGGACGUAGGCAUGCACAUGCACUACAACAAAAUUACCUUUUCGCGGCAAUUAUUUUAUAAAUUAGCGGCGAUUAUAAUCGCCGCUUCUCUCUUUAUCGGCAAUUAUAAUAAUUGCCAUUAUAAAAGGGGUCGCUAAGUCUUAGCGGCAAUUAUGUUGGCGGAAAAUAAUUGCCCGGCAAUUAUAAAGGCCAUUAAAAACAAAAUAUCUGCCUAUAAAAUAUUUAACAAUAAUCAUAAAUGCCAACAAAGAUAACAUAAAUUGCCACUAAACAUAAAAGGCAUUAAAUCAUCAUUAAAAAUCAUAUAUUUAAUUAAUCACUACAAAAGUUUCAAAAAAUAAUACAUAUACAAUAAAAACUAAGAACCCGACAUUCAAGAAAAAUCAAAUAAUCUGAAUAUAGAAGCCUAUUACAUCUCAAAAGUAUUAUGAGUACAAAUAAAUGUCAAAAUCAAUUUUUAUUACAAAACAAAUGUCAAUCAAAUAUUAUAUAGCUAAAAAAAAUUCGAACUACAAGAAGAUUAAGCUGCAAUUAAAAGCUUUUAUAGGCAGAAGGUAAGUUCUAUGCACUCCAAUAGAGAAGUUCAAACUACACAUCAAGAAAACUCAUCCUUAAAGUGCGAUCCAUUGGCUUAAGAAGAAUAAUCUGCAAAAAAAAUAUAUAAACAUAAAUGGUCAACAAAUUAUUAACAAAUAUGCUAAGAAAAUAUAUUUAGAAUUUAUAAGAUAUUAUAGAUUGCCAUGUCACUAGAUUGAGGUGUACCAAAAAAAAAACUAGAGCAUCCUGCAUUUUGUGCAAUUUUGUCGUAAUGAGUACUUGAAUGAUCAAGAACCUAUUUUACAACCAUAUAAGAAACACAUUUUACAACAAUAUCUUUUAUACUUAGACAAAAUAAACAAUAGACAAAUAGAGAAAAAGUAUUUUAAAAAUCAUAAAAAAGAAGUAAUUUUCUCAAACAAAUAGAUAAAAAAGAAUAUGAUAUAUAGAUAAAUUUGAAUGUGCUAAUGAAUACUCUCACCGUCUCGUGGGAUGUAGAAGCAGAUGAUAGUACCUCUUCAGGAAACCUUCUAUUAAUGAUUGACCUCAUCAGUGCAAUUUCAGAAUCUAGUCUAGCUUGAUUUUCUGUCAUAACCUUCAUCUCAUUCUCAUGAUACCGUUCCAUCAUUUUUAUUUUUUUUCCCAAUUGUUUCACUCUCUCACAAUCUCUAGAAGCUAUUUAAUUUGAAGUGCUUGGAGCCCACAAACUAGUAGGAGUCGGACCAAGUCCAAGCCCACGCACUUGACCAUGUCUCUCCAACCCUAUUACUUGAGAGAAUAUAUCACCUUCCCAAGCAACACGUUUGUUGUCAUACUCUAUAGAAUUUGAUAGCUUUUUCAUUUUUUGCUUCAUAGAGUUCUAAACAUAAAAUAAAGUAGCAUUAAUUAAACAUAAAAUAGUAGGUGAUAUUAAAAAUAACUAUGACAAGAAUACAUUCAAUUAACCAAACAAAAUACAUAUAAAUACAACUAUGACGAGAAUGCAUGCAACCAACCAACCAAAAUACGUAUAACUAUAACAAUGACAAGAAUACAUGCAACCAACCAACCAAAAUACAAGUAGCAUUACUAAUAUAAGCAACAUAGCACAUUGACAGUGAAAGUGCAUUGAUAUUGGAAAUCAUCCAUAGGAAAAGAAGAGGAUUAAUUUGGGGGAAGCACAAGCACUUGCAACUAGCCAAACAAAAUACAUGCUAAAAAUAAAUGUAGUAACAGUCUCAAUCAUCAUUCUAUGAAGAAAUUGAUAAGUUUUUUACUUGGCACUAGCGCAUAUAUCUGUUAUAUAUCCAGAUGAAUCAGGAAGAAACUAACAACACUAUGAUAGAAAGUAUUUCAUAAUAGACCAAAACCAUCAAAAACAUGUAAAGCUUACAAUAUUCUGAAUUGAUUCUUCAUCAAUUGGCCUUCUAUCCUUGCGUGGCUUAUGAGUUUCUAUAAAUAUAUGAGCCUGUGAUGGUUCAACUCCAUCUUUAGCCUAACAAACUUACUAAUUUAGUACAACAUGAUUAUAUAUAGUCACAAAACAAACUUAUAGUUGACAUUCUCGUUUACCAAAGUUAAGUUCAUGAAAUACCUUUUCGGCCAUCAAGCAUGCAAAACUCUUGGAUCCUGCAAUGUGAGGCAUCUUUUGCUUUGAACGAUUUUCUCUAUUUUUCUUACUAUGCUUCUAAUAUUAUAUGAAAAUGUUAUGAGAUAACAAUCUUAUUCUAAAUGAACAAUUACACACUUAGAUCUGAUUCUAAUAGCCAUAAUUUUUUUCAUACCUUUACUUUAUCCGAGUUCCAAAAAGAGACGAGAGAAGUCUAUUGAUCUCUUGGUACUCGUUCGGGUUUAUGCUCCAAUACACCAUCAAUAUUUUUAUAUUUGAAAUAGUAUUCUCCCUUUAGUUCACAUUUAUAGUCCUUCCAUUUCUUCCCUAAUGAUCUUAGGACCCAUUUUUCACCACGUGGAGGGAUUAAAAACUUUGACUGCAACAAAAAGAACACAAAUAUUACUUAGUAACUUUGCAUCAAAUGUACAUGGCUUUAAUUUUACAAUCUUUUUACCUCUACCAACUUGAAUAGUCUUUUGUUCUCCUUUCUUGGAAAGGCACGCCAAUCUUGGAUGUGAAGGGGUGUUAAAUUGGCAUUUCCUGCCAUAAUCCCCAAAAAGCUAGCAAGUACACGCCCUUCUUUUCCAAUAGGUUGCCAUCUAUUAUUGAAAUUUACUAUAAUCCACUCAUCUUUGGGAAGAUUCCAAAUUUCAGUUAACAAAGUAGGUCCUCCAGCCCUCUUUUCUUCUAAAACAGUUAAUACACAAAACUAUAGAGACAUUAGAAUAAAAUGUAGCUAAUUGAUAUAAGUAUAUCACUUAUGAAAAACUAAAUUUACCUGCUUGUUCAGCUUCAUUUUGUAACUCUCAAUUAUAUCUAUUGAAGAAUGCCCCAAUUGAUUCUCAUUAGAUUGUGAGUGACUAUUUAAACUUAGUUGCACAUGAUGAGUAGUUUGAGAACUUAUCUCCGAGUGCAAUUGAUUAUAAUUUUGAUGCCGAAUUGUGAUCUUAUGAAGUUCUUUCAAUCUGGCCAUAGAAACCUGCAAAAGGUAUAUAUUAAAAGCUGAUUUAUAAGAAACAUAAACUUUCUCGUGUAUAUACAAAAAAAAAAAUGUACUAAUAAAAGGAAAUCUCACUGCAACAAAGAGAGGAUCUGAUAGGCUAUGUUAACUAGCGCGCAUAGUUGAUUGCCCAAACUGCUAGAAUUGGACAAUCAAGUCACCUAAUACCGCUCAACUGAUCAAUUGAUUGAUGACCUAAACAAAACAAAACAAACCAAAACAAAACAAAAAAAACAAGUGGAGCUUUUUGAGUUUCAACAGAAUCAGUUUAAUUAACUCAAACAGCUACCCACUUGACUAGCAAGAGUUGAAAAUAACUUAUUCCAAAUAGUAGAAAACUAACCAACAAGAAUCAAACUGAGAGAAAAAAAAGAGAAAGAAUUAAUGUACAUUUGCUAGGUUCCAACUAGAUGAUUGUAUCACAAGAGGCUCACAAUCAAAAUGCUAUGACAAGAGCAUUAUGUCCAUGUUGGCAUGUCAUGGAAAAUACUGAUUAACUGUUUAUACACAAUAACCUCACGUACACCACUUAAGAACAUACCAACUUAGUUUCGAACAAUAUUAACUAUGCGAAUCUUGUAAUUAAUAUAGAUGUACGAGAGGUUUCAACCGUUGCAGGUUCUGUAGAGGAUAGAUAUAUGCAGAACUAAUGAAAAUCUACUAACAUGAUAUCAAAGUCCUUAAAUCAUGGUGAUCAAAUUUAUCCAAACAAACAUCUCCAAACAUACAUCCAAACAUAUCUAUUGAGAAAAUACACUAAUUAGAUAAAAAAAAAUUAAUUAAAUUGGAGGGGAAGAGGGAAAAUGAGGGAUGCAUAUUAAUUAAAUUGGAAGGGAAGAGGGGAAAUGGGGGAUGCAUACUUGAUGCGGCGGAUCCCCUCGAAAAAUUGGAGAACGUAGGCGUUGUCGUCAGCAGUGAAGUGGACGACGCCGGCGAUGUGGUGGUGCUCGACAUGGCCGAGGCGAUGUUGCACUAGUGCACGCGUGGUCAAACAUUUCCAAAGAGAACUCAUUAUGACAUCAUAUUUUCGUAAAUUUAAAGGAAUAUAUAUAUAUAUAUAUAUAUAUAUAUAUAUAUAUAUAUAUAUAAGUCGCGGCUACUAUGCUCAUCGUAGCACGGAGCGCUCCGUGCUACCAAGUGUUUCGAUGAUGAGCUUCCAAUCGACGAUCGCUCCGUUAGACUUGAUCUACACUAUUGAAAGUAUUUGGAAACUAAAUUUCAAAUUUUUUCGACAUCAAUUGACUAGUGAUCAAAAGAUCCUCAAAAUUGACAAUUUUAAUGGCCAUGUGGUGUGUUGUGAGUUUAACAGGUGUAAAACAAUCCAAAUGCGAUGAAAAUUUUAUAGAAAAUUCUUUCACUAUUUAGGGCAUGUUUGUUUCGAGGAAUGGAGUGGAAGUGAGACGGGGAAAGUGAUUUUCGGUGAAAACUAACCACUUCCGCUGUUUGUUCACCGUAAUUUUUAUUACGCCCGAAAGUUCAGUUCACCCAAAUAAGGAACUUGACUCGCCCUCCAUGGGCGAAGUCAAUUUCGGGGAAGUGAAAAAAAGCAAGAAUGGAUUAAUGUGUUAGGGUACUCUUCAUUUCAUCCAAUAUAUUCAAUUGUGAAAAUAAUUAAAUUUUUUAUUUGAUUGUAUGUCUAAAAUAUGAUCAAAUUUGAUUAGGUAUAGCUUAAUAUAUUUUUGUUUAAUUUGUAUAUUUAGAAAAUGAUGAAAAAUAAAUUUGUUAAAUGUUAAUAAUUUUUAACUUAGAAUUUUAUUUGUUGCAUUAUUAUAAUUUAUAUGCAAACAAAUAAUAUAAUUUUUAAAAUUUAUUUAUAAUAUAAAUAUAUAUAAUUAUAUACAUAUAAAAUUAUAUAAUUUUUAUUUAUAAUAAUUAUAUUAUUCACUAUAAGUUAUAAAAUAGACAAUAAUAUCACUUUGAGGUAAGUAUACCGGGGUGGAGAGCUACACUUUUUACGUCAAUCUAACUUCCUACCAAACAAACAACAGAACUGCCAGAACUGCACUUGCCACAGUUUAAAAACAAACAGCAUAAGUGAACUAUUUCACCCACAACUCACUUCAACCCAAAGUCCACUCCACCCCAAGUCUAUUUAGUUAACAAACAUGCCUUAGAGUAAGAUCAGUAUAUCUGAUCUUUGAAUUUAAAUCUUUAUCAUCAUUUUCAUGAGAUUUUAUUUUCAGCCGUUCAACUUUUAGACUUUGUUUGAUAGGCAAAUGAUAUGAACAAUUAUAAUUAGUUUGUAAUACUUUCAAUAGUAUAGAUCAAGGUCUAACGAGCCGAUCGUCGAUUUGGAGCCGGCAUCAUUGAAAACUUGGUAGCACGGAGCGCUCCGUGCUACAUAGUAUAGUAGCCAGUCUAUAUAAUAUAUAGAGCUAGGCGCGAAUACUAUUGAUAGCAAAAGAUCCUUUUUGCUAUCAAGUUUUUAACCCUUGAUGAAAAUUGUAGGGUUAGGAUGAUAUUAUCCUUCUUAAGUUAAGUGGUCCCCUAGAUGAGUGGUCCCACUCGGAUUAUAAUAGUUAAUCCAAUGGUUAAAAAUAAUGAAAAAAUUAAUCCAAAGGCCUAAAAACUUGAAUAGCAAAAAGGCUUUUACCUAUUAAUAGUAUCUAGCCAACUCUCUCUCUCUCUCUGUCUCUCUCUCUUCUAUAUAUAUAUAUAUAUAUUAUAUAUAUAGCUAGGCUGUAUACUAUCGUAGUACGGAAGCCUUCGUGCUACCAAUUUUUCAAUGAUGCGGCUUCCAAAUCGACGAUGCGCUCCAUUAGCCUUAAAUCUACACUAUUAAAAGUAUUUGAAAACUAAAUUCAUAAUUUUCGGCAUCAUUUACCUAUCAACGAGUAGUCCUAAAAAUGAACGUGAAAAUAAAAAUCUCAUAAAAAAUGAUGAUUAAAAAUUUGAAUAUUAAGAUCAGAGAUACUGAUCUUAACUAUACAAAGUAAAAAAAAUUUCUAUAAAAAUUUCAUCAUAUUUUUAAAUUGUUUUAUACUGUUAAAUUCACAAAGCAACCAAUCUAAUAUUAAAAUUGUCAAUUUUGAGACCUUUUGAUCA